AAUAAAUACAGUUUUACACUAUUCACGUUCAAUAUUUGAUCAUUCGUCUUAUUUGAAUUUUUUUAUGAUUAGUAUUUUUAUUGCUAAAUAUUUUCAAAUUUUUCACAAAUUUUUUAAAUAAGACGGACGGUCAAAUAUUGGACACGGAUAUCUACGGCUGUACUUAUU
rnacentral:pre_miRNA from 1 species